rnacentral:lncRNA from 1 species
CACUAAUCGACAAUUGAGUACCAUGGAGGUACACACCCCUAAUCCUUUUGUGCGUACAAACCUAAAGUACCUUCCUCCUUUAGUCGAGCGGAGUAUACUUCUUAGCUCCUAUAAAUUGUUCUGUUUUUUUCUAAACACAUAUGUUUUAAAAAAAUAAAUAGAACAUCUACCUAAUAAUUUAAGAUAGAAACGUAGAGAAGAGUAUAUGCUACGGCACACAAGAAAAAACCAUAAAGCUAACACGUGAAACCGCUUGAGCCUACACACAUACAUGUCCUU